rnacentral:rRNA from 1 species
GACGAACGCUGGCGGCGUGCGUAACACAUGCAAGUCGAGCGGAGAUAUUAGUAAUAGUAUCUUAGCGGCGGACGGGUGAGUAACGCGUGGGCAACCUACCUCAAACUGGGGGAUAACACAGGGAAACUUGUGCUAAUACCGCAUAACAUCAUGAAAUGACAUCAUUUUAUGAUCAAAGGAGAAAUCCGGUGAGAGAUGGGCCCGCGUCCAAUUAGCUAGUUGGUGAGGUAACGGCCCACCAAGGCGACGAUUGGUAGCCGAACUGAGAGGUUGAUCGGCCACAUUGGGACUGAGACACGGCCCAGACUCCUACGGGAGGCAGCAGUGGGGAAUAAUGCGCAAUGGGGGAAACCCUGACGCAGCAACGCCGCGUGAAGGAUGAAGGUUUUCGGAUUGUAAACUUCUUUGAUGAGGGACGAAUAAAUGACGGUACCUCAAAAACAAGCCACGGCUAACUACGUGCCAGCAGCCGCGGUAAUACGUANGUGGCGAGCGUUGUCCGGAAUUACUGGGUGUAAAGGGCGUGUAGGCGGGAAUGCAAGUCAGAUGUGAAAUGCCAGACAAAAAAAAACUUCGGAGCUGCAUCUGAAACUGCGUUUCUUGAGUGUCGGAGAGGAAGUGGAAUCCCCAGUGUAGCGGUGAAAUGCGUANAUAUGGGGAGGAACACCAGUGGCGAAGGCGACUUUCUGGACGAUAACUGACGCUGAGGCGCGAAAGCGUGGGGACCAAACNGGAUUAAAUACCCUGGUAAUUCACCCCCGUAAACGAUGGAUACUAGGUGUUGGAGGUAUCAACCCCUUCGUGGCCGCAUUAACCCAUUAGUAUUCCCCCUGGGAGUCGGCCCAAGGUAAACCUCAAGGAAUGAC